GUAAUUACGUAACGCGUAGUCGGGCGAUAAUUCAUUUAUUAUACAUGUAAUUUGAUAAUCGACCCGUGCGUUAUCGUUCGUUUUCCACGAAAGCAGUGGACAUUGUCUCGCGUCGCGAUGCCGAGGCUUAUCUUCAAUCACCACGUUCCGGCUACCUGGCGUGUAACUCGUCGAUCAAAAAUACACCGGUUCCCCCAAUUACCGGAUAUAUCAAGCCCUAUCUCCAUUCGGAACGUUGCACGCGGGACCCUUCGAUGACAUUGUCCCGCCAUUGAUGCACAUGGUGCGAUUAGUCAACGUGGACAUGCCUGGCCGAGAUCCAGAACGAAAUGCCAACGAAUCGAAGAAGCGCUUGAUUCUUUGCGUCUGACCAUGACCUGAAAGACUCUACUUGCUUCGUUUCCGCUGAGAAAUCACAUGGCAACGAAAUUGGAAGUUUUACGGGGACCUAGAUUUUUCGUAUCCUUGCAAUCUUUU